rnacentral:rRNA from 1 species
AUUGAACGCUGGCGGCAUGCCUUACACAUGCAAGUCGAACGGCAGCACGGGAGCAAUCCUGGUGGCGAGUGGCGAACGGGUGAGUAAUAUAUCGGAACGUGCCCAGUCGUGGGGGAUAACGCAGCGAAAGCUGUGCUAAUACCGCAUACGAUCUACGGAUGAAAGCGGGGGAUCGCAAGACCUCGCGCGAUUGGAGCGGCCGAUAUCAGAUUAGCUAGUUGGUGGGGUAAAGGCCUACCAAGGCGACGAUCUGUAGCUGGUCUGAGAGGACGCCCAGCCACAACGGAACUGAGACACGGACCAGACUCCUACGGGAGGCAGCAGGGGGGAAUUUUGGACAAUGGGCGAAAGCCUGAUCCAGCAAGGCCGCGUGCAGGAUGAAGGCCUUCGGGUUGUAAACUGCUUUUGUACGGAACGAAACGGUGAGCUCUAAUAAAGUUUGCUAAUGACGGUACCGUAAGAAUAAGCACCGGCUAACUACGUGCCAGCCGCCGCCGUAA